AAUGUAUCGGAACGUGCCCAGUUGUGGGGGAUAACUGCUCGAAAGAGCAGCUAAUACCGCAUACGACCUGAGGGUGAAAGCGGGGGAUCGCAAGACCUCGCGCAAUUGGAGCGGCCGAUAUCAGAUUAGGUAGUUGGUGGGGUAAAGGCCUACCAAGCCAACGAUCUGUAGCUGGUCUGAGAGGACGACCAGCCACACUGGGACUGAGACACGGCCCAGACUCCUACGGGAGGCAGCAGUGGGGAAUUUUGGACAAUGGACGCAAGUCUGAUCCAGCCAUGCCGCGUGCGGGAAGAAGGCCUUCGGGUUGUAAACCGCUUUUGUCAGGGAAGAAAAGGGCGACUCUAAUACAGUUGCCUCAUGACGGUACCUGAAGAAUAAGCACCGGCUAACUACGUGCCAGCAGCCGCGGUAAUACGUAGGGUGCAAGCGUUAAUCGGAAUUACUGGGCGUAAAGCGUGCGCAGGCGGUUAUGCAAGACAGAUGUGAAAUCCCCGGGCUCAACCUGGGAACUGCAUUUGUGACUGCAUGGCUAGAGUACGGUAGAGGGGGAUGGAAUUCCGCGUGUAGCAGUGAAAUGCGUAGAUAUGCGGAGG
rnacentral:rRNA from 1 species